rnacentral:rRNA from 1 species
CUACGGGUCGCAGCAGUCGAGAAUCUUUUGCAAUGUCCGAAAGGAUGACAAUGCGACGCCGCGUGAGCGAUGAAGCCCUUCGGGGUGUAAAGCUCUGUCAGCCCGGAGGAAUAUUUGCUAUUUAAUAGAUAGCGAAAAUGACAGUACGGGCAGAGGAAGCCACGGCUAACUCCGUGCCAGCAGCCGCGGUAAUACGGAGGUGGCAAGCGUUGUUCGGUAUUUAUGGGUGUAAAGGGUAUGUAGGUGUCCGGUAAGUCGGAUGUGAAAUCCCAUGGCUUGACCAUGGAAUUGCAUUCGAAACUCGCGGGAUUGAGUAUGGAAGAGGAGAGCGGAAUUCCCGGUGUAAGGGUGAAAUCUGUAGAUAUCGGGAGGAACACCAGUGGCGAAAGCGGCUCUCUGGUCCAAUACUGACACUGAAAUACGAAAGCAAGGGGAGCAAACAGGAUUAGAUACCCCCGUAGUC